rnacentral:sRNA from 1 species
CGAAACAUCGAAGGCAUCGCCAUGGUCGA